GGCGAGUGAAGCGGGAAGAGCUCAAAUUUGAAAUCUUCAAGGUUCUACCUUGACGAAUUGUAGUUUAAAGAAGUGUUUUCUGCUAGUGGAGUGGCAAAAGUUCUUUGGAAUAGGACAUCAUAGAGGGUGAGAAUCCCGUAUUUGGUCAUUCUUUCUAGCUUUGUGAUACACUUUCAAAGAGUCGGAUUGUUUGGGAAUGCAGUCCAAAAUGGGUGGUAAAUUUCAUCUAAAGCUAAAUAUUGGCGAGAGACCGAUAGCGAACAAGUACCGUGAGGGAAAGAUGAAAAGAACUUUGAAAAGAGAGUUAAACAGUACGUGAAAUUGUCAAAAGGGAAGCGUUUGACACCAGUGUUGUUUUUCCGAAAAUCAAUUAUGAAUGUUUUGUUUUUGAGGAGUUAUGACUUCAUCGGCUUGCUCCUUUCUUUACGGAACUUUCGUAAUGCACUUUUCGGUUAACAAGUCAACAUCAAUUUCUUUUGUUGUAAAAGGGUACGAGGAAGGUGGCUUUCUUUUCGGAGAAAGUGUUUAUAGCCUUGUGCCUCUGCAAUCGGAGAGAUUGAGGUCUGCAGCGUAGAUCCUUCGGGGCUAGAUACACUUGUGCUAAGUUAUAGCUUUUCAUAGACAACUUGUUGACUAUGUUUAGUCUUGUAGCUUACCCGCUUGUGCUAUUUUACCUACGCUUAGGAUGUUGACAAAAUGGUUUUAAACGACCCGUC
rnacentral:rRNA from 1 species